AGGAUGAACGCUAGCGGCAGGCUUAACACAUGCAAGUCGAGGGGUAUAGUUCUUCGGAACUAGAGACCGGCGCACGGGUGCGUAACGCGUAUGCAAUCUACCUUUUACAGAGGGAUAGCCCAGAGAAAUUUGGAUUAAUACCUCAUAGUAUUAUGAAAUGGCAUCAUUUUAUAAUUAAAGUCACAACGGUAAAAGAUGAGCAUGCGUCCCAUUAGCUAGUUGGUAAGGUAACGGCUUACCAAGGCUACGAU
rnacentral:rRNA from 1 species